UGCAAGAAAUGUCUUACAAGUGUCAAGAACACACCUUUUGAAGGUGUUGUAAAUUGUUCUUCAAUAGUUCAAAACAGUUGGUUCUUCUACUUGAAUGUUUGAUUCCGUAUUAGUAACUAUGUUUUACAAUCAUUAAAAGUAUGGCUAAUAAGAAGUAGAAGAUUAAUGAGAGAAGAGAAAGUACUUCACAUUCGGAAAGUGAAUAAAAUAUAGAUUUCUGCGAAAGCAGAUGGUACUUACUUCCUCAUAUGAACUACCAAAGAAAUUGGAAAAACCAAAGACUGUCUUUACAUUCCAAUUUUAAGGAAUUUAAUUCCGUCACUAUAGUAGAGAUGGAUGAAUGUUUUGUUUGACAAAACAUUGUUCUUUAUUAAUCAAUGAUUGGAUUAUAGUAAUCUAAUUGAUUGUCUCUAUAGUAGAGAUGAUAUGGUAGUGUUAACUGUUUAGAAUACAACGAUGCUUAAAACCCAAAAGGUUGCAAGGUAGUGACUAAUCCCAACUAAAGUUGUGAUACCUCUAAAACAUAAAUUACGAGUUGGUCAUAGAUGGACGCUUUGGAUCGUUAGAUCCGGAUCCAAUACCUUCUUGUUAAAAUUAUAUAGAGGCGAAAUGUUCGAAUCUUUAUUCUUUUGGAAAGAAGAAAGAAUCACAAAGUUGUUGAGGUUAAUUCACUUAGAUGUUAGUGGCUCUUGUCCACAAACAUAAUACUACUCAUGUUGGAUAACAUUCACCGAAGAUCACUCUCGGUUGGACUAUA
rnacentral:lncRNA from 1 species